rnacentral:tRNA from 1 species
AUUCUUCUAGUAUAUUAGUACAAAUGACUUCCAAUCAUUUAGUUUCAGAAUCCACUGAAGAAGGAUA